rnacentral:ncRNA from 2 species
CAGCUCGCGUUGACUACGUCCCU